CGGACGGGUGAGUAAUGUCUGGGAAACUGCCCGAUGGAGGGGGAUAACUACUGGAAACGGUAGCUAAUACCGCAUAACGUCGCAAGGCCAAAGAGGGGGACCUUCGGGCCUCUUGCCAUCGGAUGUGCCCAGAUGGGAUUAGCUAGUAGGUGGGGUAACGGCUCACCUAGGCGACGAUCCCUAGCUGGUCUGAGAGGAUGACCAGCCACACUGGAACUGAGACACGGUCCAG
rnacentral:rRNA from 1 species